rnacentral:rRNA from 1 species
AUGGCGCCACCACAGGAGCGGGACUACAUCGGGCUGUCGCCGGCAGCGGCGGCGGCGGCCACGGAGCUGCGCCUGGGGCUCCCGGGGACGGAGGACGCUGCCGGGGACGGCGGUGGAGCGGCGUCGGAGGCGCCGCUGACACUGGAGCUCCUGUCCAAGGGCGGGGCGAAACGCGGGUUCGCGGGCGCGGUGGCGGAGGAGGAGGACGAGAAGAAGAAGGCGCAGCCGCCGGCCGCCAAGGCACAGGUGGUAGGAUGGCCACCAAUCCGCAGUUACAGGAAGAACACCAUGGCGACGAACUUAUCUGCUCCCAGAAGCAAAGACGAGGCCGAGGCGAAGCAGGCACCGGCACCAGGCUGCCUUUAUGUCAAGGUUAGCAUGGAUGGUGCUCCUUACCUCAGGAAGGUGGAUCUCAAGAUGUAUAAGAACUAUAAGGACCUCUCGCUGGAGCUGGAGAAAAAGUUCAGCGGCUUUACUGUUGGUCAUGGUGAAUCGACUGGAAAAUCGGGAAGAGAUGGAUUAUCUGAUUGCCGGCUGAUGGACCUUAAAAGCGGCACUGAACUUGUGCUCACUUAUGAGGAUAAGGAUGGUGAUUGGAUGCUUGUUGGUGAUGUUCCAUGGCGAAUGUUCACAGACAGCUGUAGGAGGAUGAGGAUCAUGAAGGGGUCAGAUGCAGUGGGCCUCGCUCCGAGGGCCGCCGAGAAGAGUAAGAACCAGAAGUAG